GACGAACGCUGGCGGCGUGCCUAAUACAUGCAAGUAGAACGCACAGUUUAUACCGUAGCUUGCUACACCAUAGACUGUGAGUUGCGAACGGGUGAGUAACGCGUAGGUAACCUGCCUGGUAGCGGGUGAUAACUAUUGGAAACGAUAGCUAAUACCGCAUAAUAUUAAUUAUUGCAUGAUAAUUAAUUGAAAGGUGCAAUUGCACCACUACCAGAUGGACCUGCGUUGUAUUAGCUAGUAGGUGAGGUAACGGCUCACCUAGGCGACGAUACAUAGCCGACCUGAGAGGGUGAUCGGCAACACUGGGACUGAGACACGGCCCAGACUCCUACGGGAGGAAGCAGUAGGGAAUCUUCGGCAAUGGACGAAAGUCUGACCGAGCAACGCCGCGUGAGUGAAGAAGGUUUUCGGAUCGUAAAGAUCUGUUGUAAGAGAAGAACGGGUGUGAGAGUGGAAAGUUCACAAUGUGACGGUAUCUUACCAGAAAGGGACGGCUAACUACGUG
rnacentral:rRNA from 1 species